rnacentral:tRNA from 1 species
GCUCCUGUAGCUCAGUCGGUAGAACGUUUCCAUGGUAAGGAAGAGGUCGCAGGUUCGAUUCCUGUCGGGUGCA